rnacentral:lncRNA from 1 species
CGAUACGCUGCCGAGCCUACACGCUCUAAUAUCUCAUACGGUCCAAUAAACCGACGGCUCAACUUUCCUCGUAUGCUGAAUCUUUUAAUUCCCUUCGUCGGCAAAACUUUCAAAAGGACAUGACCUCCAACUUGAAAUUCUAAUUCUCAUCGACGCUUAUCCGCAUAGCUUUUCUUUCUACUUUGCGCUGCCACCAACCUCUCUC